UGCUAAACAUUCUUCUAGGCACUGAGGUUGCAGCAGUAAGCAAAAUAGGCAGAAAUCCCGGGUCUUGGGGAUUUAUAUUUUCCUGGGGGAAGACAGGCAGUAAACAAUAAAAGUCUUCUCCUGUCACCCAGGCUGGAGUGCAAUGGCAUGAUCUCCACUCACUGCAACCUCCACCUCUUGGAUUCAAGCUAUUCUCCUGCCUCAGCCUCCCAAGUAGCUGGGAUCAUAGAACCACGAUUUGGGAUGAAGCUCAAGUUCCAAGAAUAGCUUAUGUACAGCAGGAAAAGAAGGCAAGAAUAUGCAACAGGCA